GGCCUGGAGAAGCAACUCUUGAGCAGAGGGACUACAGAAAAAACAUAAAGCAGUUUUGACUUUGGAGGAAUUUAGGAAGGCAAGAUGAGGAUACACAAAUCAGUGCAAGUGCCUAUUGCAUGAGUAUUAAUUAGCAGUGCCAAUAGCAUAUUUUAGGUGCUUUGGAAAUGCAAUAGUACUCUAAGUGAGAGACUCACAGAGGAAGAGGGAAAGCCAGAGAGAAAGGCUAGAAGCUGUUUGAUCAGCUGCCUCUUUCCACCUGAGGUUUUCCUUCCAAAGUGAACCUUGGAGAUUUAUAGAUAUUUCACUUCAAGAUAGCCUCUACCACCACUACCGCCACACUACCCAAUCACUAGGGGCCUUCAACUGUUU
rnacentral:lncRNA from 1 species